GUGGCUUGUGGCUCCUUCCUGGGCGACUUCUCUCUUUCGCUCAGGCCCGUGGCGCCGGCAGGAUGGGCAAGUGUCGCGGUCUUCGUACUGCCAGGAAGCUCCGCAGCCACCGACGAGACCAGAAGUGGCAUGAUAAACAGUACAAAAAAGCCCAUUUGGGCACAGCCCUGAAGGCCAACCCUUUUGGAGGUGCUUCUCAUGCAAAGGGAAUUGUGCUUGAAAAAGUAGGGGUUGAAGCCAAACAGCCAAAUUCUGCCAUCAGGAAGUGUGUCAGGGUUCAGCUAAUCAAGAAUGGCAAAAAAAUCACAGCCUUUGUACCCAAUGAUGGUUGUUUGAAUUUUAUCGAGGAAAAUGAUGAAGUUCUGGUUGCUGGA